GUAACAUUAGUGUUUUAUUAGUUAUGUGAUUUCUGGUUACAUUGUUGUUGUUGUUGUUUUUGUUUGUUUGUUUUGUUUUUGUUACUUUUUUGUUAUUUGGCGGCCGCGGUAAUUUUUAAAAGUAUCCCAAAAAAACGCACCCAGCCACCCCUAAAUUUUCACCUGCGACUGGAUUUUUUAAACAAGCCCAACUGGGCGGAAAAACCGCGAACCUGGCAACUCUGCUCUCAGAGAAGGAGAAGAAGGGAGAGAGGAGGCGGUUGUUUCUCCUUCACUCCACCCACUCCUCCAAUACAGGCGAAGCAGCAGCACUCCUCCUAAGUUCUCGAGGUUGUAUGAAAUCACUGUAUAGAGGUCAGCUAAGAAGACUAGAUCCUUCCAGAAAACUGAAAACCAAAUGUGCAUAGCUAACAAGGCUGGUUUUGCACCUACUUUGCACAUCAGAGGAUGUAACAACACUGCCCAACAACACUCCAGUGGCAGACCCUGGUUUAUGACACCCCACAGUUGGGUAAGUACCACACUGCACCAAUAAGGUUCUAUCCCUUGAUUCUGAUUCAAAUGCUCGUCACUCUUUACAAGAGUUUCAGCCAUCCAUCCAUCUGUCUAAUUAUCCACUUCUUCCUGAUCAGGGUCACAGUGGGUCCAGGCCUAUCCAGAAUUAGUAGACGCAUGGCAGGAAUACCCUCUGGUCCAUCACAGGUAAAUCAUAAAGGGCCAACAGAGCAGCUUAUUAACGCCGGAGAAUGAGGCGAC
rnacentral:lncRNA from 1 species